rnacentral:rRNA from 1 species
GACGAACGCUGGCGGCGUGCCUAACACAUGCAAGUCGAGCGGAGAUAAGCGGAUGGUAACUGAAGUUUGUCUUAGCGGCGGACGGGUGAGUAACACGUGGGCAACCUGCCUUGGAGUGGGGGAUAACACCGGGAAAUCGGUGCUAAUACCGCAUAACAUACACAUACUGCAUGGUGGGUGUAUCAAAGGAGCAAUCCGCUUUAAGAUGGGCCCGCGGCUGAUUAGCUAGUUGGUAAGGUAACGGCUUACCAAGGCGACGAUCAGUAGCCGACCUGAGAGGGUGACCGGCCACACUGGAACUGAGACACGGUCCAGACUCCUACGGGAGGCAGCAGUGGGGAAUAUUGCGCAAUGGGGGAAACCCUGACGCAGCAACGCCGCGUGGAGGAAGAAGGUCUUCGGAUUGUAAACUCCUGUCUUCUGGGACGAAGUAUGACGGUACCAGAGGAGGAAGCCACGGCUAACUACGUGCCAGCAGCCGCGGUAAACGUAGCGUG